rnacentral:lncRNA from 1 species
GUACUUGGUCUAGGAUCAUUCCUUGAGUUGGCGGUGCACCCUAGAGGUAAGGGGAGCUAGCUUUCUUUCCAUUUUUAUAGUAUGUUGUGAAUGUAUGAUAAAUCUUAAAGUUGUAUGUUGUUGGAAGCAUGAAAUUGGUUGAAUUGGUUUGAAAUUUAUGUAUGAAAAUGGGUAUGUUAUGUAGAAUUGAUGAUUGAUGAUUUUGGACUGUUUGGAACCCCUUGGUAUGUUGAAUUAGGCAUGAUUGGGACUGUGAUGAUGAUUGAAAUCUGUUGUGGUAGUGUUUGGAAGAAAAUCAAGUCAUUUAAAGCCACUUUUAAGCCAUUUUAAGGGAAGUGAGGUAGU